GAUGAACGCUAGCGGCAGGCUUAAUACAUGCAAGUCGAGGGGGCAGCACGGGGGCGAACCCUGGUGGCGACCGGCAAACGGGUGCGGAACACGUACGCAACCUUCCCAUAACUGGUGAAUAGCCUUUCGAAAGAGAGAUUAAUACACCGUAACAUAAUGAAGAGGCAUCUCUUUGUUAUUAUAGGCAGCAAUGUCGGUUUUGGAUGGGCGUGCGCCUGAUUAGGUAGUUGGCGGGGUAACGGCCCACCAAGCCUGCGAUCAGUAACUGGUGUGAGAGCACGACCAGU
rnacentral:rRNA from 1 species